UACGGAGGGUGCGAGCGUUAAUCGGAAUUACUGGGCGUAAAGCGCGCGUAGGCGGUUUUGUAAGUCGGAUGUGAAAACUCCAAGCUCAACUUGGAGCCUGCAUCCGAAACUGCGAUGACUAGAGUCUGGUAGGGGAACACGGAAUACCUGGUGUAGCGGUGAAAUGCUUAGAUAUCAGGUGGAACACCAGUGGCGAAGGCGGUGUUCUGGGCCAGUACUGACGCUGAGGCGCGAAAGCGUGGGGAGCGAACAGG
rnacentral:rRNA from 1 species